CCUACGGGAGGCAGCAGUCGAGAAUCAUUGACAAUGGAGGCAACUCUGAUGGUGCGACGCCGCGUGGGGGAAUGAAGGUCUUCGGAUUGUAAACUCCUGUCAUGUGGGAGCAAACUCAAAAGAUAGUACCACAAUAGGAAGAGACUGCAAACUCUGUGCCAGCAGCCGCGGUAAUACAGAGGACUCAAGCGUUAUUCGUAAUCACUGGGCGUAAAGCGUGCGUAGGCUGUUUCGUAAGGCGUGUGUGAAAAGCGGUGGCUCAACUCGCGGACGGCAUAUGAUACUGCGAGACUAGAGAAAUGGAGGGGGAAACGGAAUGCUCGGUGUAGCAGUGAAAUGCGUAGAGAUCGAGAAGAACACUCGUGGCGAAGGCGGGUUCCUGGACAUUAACUGACGCUGAGGCACGAAGGCGAGGGGAGCGAAAGGGAUUAGAUACCCCAGUAGUC
rnacentral:rRNA from 1 species